AAAGCUCGUAGUUGGAUUUCUGAUUCUUGUCGUUGGUUGGGCGGCCGCGUGUCGCUCGCCUCGCACAGGAGUCAACAUAUGUCACGAGCCAGUGUGAUCUAUUCAUUUAGGUCCGCUGGGUAAUGACUCGUUUACUUUGAGAAAAUUAGAGUGUUCAAAGCAGGCAUUUGCCUUGAAUAUGUUAGCAUGGAAUAAUAGCAUAGGACUUCGGUUCUAUUUGUUGGUUGUUCGAGAACUGGAGUAAUGAUUGAUAGGGACGGUUGGGGGCAUCUGUAUUCUCAAGCGAGAGGUGAAAUUCUUGGACCUUGGGAAGACAAACAGCUGCGAAAGCGUUUGCCUAGGACGUUCUCUUUAAUCAAGAACGAAAGUUGGGGGAUCGAAGACGAUCAGAUACCGUCGUAGUCUCAACUAUAAACUAUGCCAGCUAGGGAUCGGUGGGUCUUUGUCACGAGUCCAUCGGCACCUUACGAGAAAUCAAAGCAUUUGGGUUCCGGGGGGAGUAUGGUCGCAAGGCUGAAACUUAAAGGAAUUGACGGAAGGGCACCACCAGGAGUGGAGCCUGUGGCUUAAUUUGACUCAACACGGGAAAACUUACCAGGUCCGGACAUAGUAAGGAUUGACAGAUUGA
rnacentral:rRNA from 1 species